GACAGAGGGUGCAAACGUUGUUCGGAAUUACUGGGCGUAAAGCGCGUGUAGGCUGCUUCGCAAGUCGGGUGUGAAAGCCCUGGGCUCAACCUAGGAAGUGCACUCGAAACUGCGGAGCUCGAGUCCUGGAGAGGAAGGCGGAAUUCUCGGUGUAGAGGUGAAAUUCGUAGAUAUCGAGAGGAACACCGGUGGCGAAGGCGGCCUUCUGGACAGUGACUGACGCUGAGACGCGAAAGCGUGGGGAGCAAACGGG
rnacentral:rRNA from 1 species